CCUACGGGAGGCAGCAGUGGGGAAUAUUGCACAAUGGGGGAAACCCUGAUGCAGCAACGCCGCGUGAGUGAAGAAGGAUUUCGGUAUGUAAAGCUCUAUCAGCAGGGAAGAAGAAAGACGGAAGCGGACAAAGAAGCCCCGGCGAACUACGUGCAAGCAGCCGCGGUAAGACGGAGGGGGCAAGCGGUAUCCGGAUUUACUGGGUGUAAGGGGCGCGGAGACGGCUGGUGAAGUCUGACGUGAAAGCCCGUGGCUCAACCGCGGAACUUCUUUGGAAACUGUAUAGCUUGAGUACUGGAUAGGCAGGCGGAAUUCCUUGUGUAGCGGUGAAAUGCGCAGAUAUUAGGAGGAACACCAGUGGCGAAGGCGGCCUGCUGGACUGAACCUGACGUUGAGGCUCGAAAGCGUGGGGAGCAAACAGGAUUAGAUACCCCUGUAGUC
rnacentral:rRNA from 1 species